GCGAGCUCUGCUACGAUAG
rnacentral:misc_RNA from 1 species